AGGCAGCAGUGGGGAAUCUUGCACAAUGGAGGAAACUCUGAUGCAGCGAUGCCGCGUGAGUGAAGAAGGCCCUUGGGUUGUAAAGCUCUUUCGUCGGGGAAGAAA
rnacentral:rRNA from 1 species